rnacentral:rRNA from 2 species
UACGUAGGUCCCGAGCGUUGUCCGGAUUUAUUGGGCGUAAAGCGAGCGCAGGUGGUUUAUUAAGUCUGGUGUAAAAGGCAGUGGCUCAACCAUUGUAUGCAUUGGAAACUGGUAGACUUGAGUGCAGGAGAGGAGAGUGGAAUUCCAUGUGUAGCGGUGAAAUGCGUAGAUAUAUGGAGGAACACCGGUGGCGAAAGCGGCUCUCUGGCCUGUAACUGACACUGAGGCUCGAAAGCGUGGGUAGCAAACAGG